rnacentral:rRNA from 1 species
AUACGGAGGGUGCAAGCGUUACUCGGAAUCACUGGGCGUAAAGCGCGCGCAGGCGGUCUUUUAAGUUGGAUGUGAAAGCCUACGGCUCAACCGUAGAACUGCAUCCAAAACUAUUAGACUAGAGUGUGGGAGAGGAAGAUGGAAUUAGUUGUGUAGGGGUAAAAUCCGUAGAGAUAACUAGGAAUACCAAAAGCGAAGGAAAUCUUCUGGAACACUCCUGACGCUGAGGCGCGAAAGCGUGGGGAGCAAACAGGAUUAGAAACCCUUGUAGUCC